rnacentral:rRNA from 1 species
AUUGAACGCUGGCGGCAGGCCUAACACAUGCAAGUCGAGCGGAUGAAGGGAGCUUGCUCCUGGAUUCAGCGGCGGACGGGUGAGUAAUGCCUAGGAAUCUGCCUGGUAGUGGAGGAUAACGUCCGGACAGGGGCGCUAAUACCGCAUACGUCCAGAUGGAGAAAGGGAGGGAUCUUCAGACCUCACGCUAUCAGAUGAGCCUAGGUCGGAUUAGCUAGUUGGUGGGGUAAAGGCCUACCAAGGCGACGAUCCGUAACUGGUCUGAGAGGAUGACCAGCCACACUUGAACUUAGACACGGUCCAGACUCCUACGGGAGGCAGCAGUGGGGAAUCUUGGACAAUGGGCGAAAGCCUGAUCCAGCCAUGCCGCGUGUGUGAAGAAGGUCUUCGGAUUGUAAAGCACUUUUAGUUGGGAAGAAGGGAAGUAAGUUAAACCCUUGCCGUCUUGACGUUACCAACAGAGUAAGCCCCGGCUAACUUCGUG